rnacentral:rRNA from 1 species
UACGUAGGAAGCGAGCGUUGUCCGGAAUCACUGGGCGUAAAGCGCGUGUAGGCGGUACGGCAAGUCUGCUGUGAAAGCGCCCGGCUUAACCGGGCGAGGUCGGCGGAAACUGCUGAACUGGAGGACGGUAGAGGGGGGUGGAAUUCCCGGUGUAGUGGUGAAAUGCGUAGAGAUCGGGAGGAACACCUGUGGCGAAGGCGGCCCCCUGGGCCGGGCCUGACGCUGAGACGCGAAAGCGUGGGGAGCAAACAGG